UGGGAUGGGGUAGAUGUGGCCA
rnacentral:misc_RNA from 1 species